CUACUAUAAAUUUAAAUAUUAACAAACAGGAUAUUGCCAGCAUAUAUAUGAUUUAUUGUGGACGUUAAAAACCAACCAGCAAGCAAUCAGUUUAUAGAGACUUAUUACUGAAUGUUUGACAGAAAACGAAUAUGUUGUUGUCAAUGGUAUUAAGUUGUCUGAUUGUUGGAACCUGUACUUCACUUACAUCAAGAGACGUCAUGCCUUUAGUAUUGUCAGAAACUACAGCAGAAAAUGGGUGUAACACUGACCUGAGUGAUAAUUUUAACCGAGAUGAUAUUGAAUGGUGUAGAUUACCACCUGGUAAACACCAUAAAGUAUAUGAAAAUCAUAUAUAUUAUCCAUCUCUAUCUGUUUGUGCUGUAAAGAGUAAUAAUAAAACGUGUUUUAGCUGUUUCCAGAAGAACUGGCAUCAG